UACCUCGUGGCGCAGCGGUAACGCGUCUGACUCCAGAUCAGAAGGUUGCGUGUUCAAAUCACGUCGGGGUCA
rfam:Lepisosteus oculatus linkage group LG2, whole genome shotgun sequence.